ACAGGAAAACAAUGUCUCUUCACCAAAUCUACCUCAUAGAGUCCUCCUUUGACAGGGACACCAACUCGCUCUUCUUCAAUGUCAUACAACUUGACUAAUUUAGAAACCUCUGAAGCAGAUUCAUUUCUUUGUUUAUCAAGCCUCACACUAGAGCCAGGCCUUUCUUUUGGCCCUUCACUACAUUCUGCAUACUCUUUCCACCAGAUAGAAAGUAGUUCUUCCUCUCUCUGCAAGAAAGAUGCCUCUAUUGCAAGAGAAUCCCUCAUCCCAAAUCGAAAAUAGUCACCCUUCCCAACUAUUUCAGUCUUAGGAACAGAUGCAGCUAGCUCAUUCCCAAGCAAAGGUACUUUACAGAAAUACCAGCGGACAUCACCGCCAUCAGAACGACUCCUCGUCUGUGCAAGAUACUUCUGCCUACCUUCGCAG
rnacentral:misc_RNA from 1 species